rnacentral:lncRNA from 1 species
GGGUUAAUAGAUGCAAACUAUUACAUUUGGAGUAGAUAAGCAAUGAGGUCCUGCUGUACAGCACAGAGAACUAUGUCCAGUCUCUUGUGACAGGAUAUGAUAGAAGAUAAUAUGAAAAAAAGAACAUACACAUAUAAUAUAUAUGUAUAUAUAAAAAACUGUGUCACUUUUUUGUACUGCAGAACUUGACAGAACAUGGUAAAUCGACUAUAGCAAAAUUUAAAAAUAAAAAAUAGUUCACACACAAAAAAGCCGAGACUGAGAGUGGGCGGACUUGAUUAGAAUGCCAGUUUUGCAACUGACUAAGCUGUCUCAGUUUCCCCAAAUAUGAAAUGAAGGCAUAAUAGCAACUCCCUUAGCACUGUAAACAGGCUUAUACAAGUUAAUAUUUAUAAAGUUCUUGGAACAGUGCUUUCAAUGUCAAAGUACUGUGUAAAUAAAAAUUUAGCAUUUCUGACUAUGCUGGGGGGAAAAAAGGCGCCUCUUUGUCUGGAAAGAGGCAGUUCUGGUCCUUGUCACGCAUGAGCUAGAGUUGAGUUCAAACAAAGGGGGUUUUGCUGGUGAGAAAAAGAAGCAACCAUAGCAUGAAGAUCAUCCAAUCCAUCAGCUACUAGCCUGUAAACCAUUUUGCUUCUCUGCCUCCUAAAAAAAAAAAAAAAAAAGAGUUUUUUCCUGCAGCUCACACAGUUGAAGAUGGAUAGCCAAAAUUGUAUUAGAACUUUAAGUAAGGUUAUUUUUGUUAUUAGGAGGUAGAAAAUAUAAAAUAAGGCAUUCCCUGGUGGCUCAGCAGGUUAAGGAUAUGGCAUGAUCACUGCUGUGGCUCAGGUUGCUGCUGUGGCAUGGAUUCGUUGCCUGGCUUGGGAGUUUCUGCGUGCCACAGGCAUGGCCAAAAAAAAAAAGAAUAUAUGUAAAAUUUAUAUAUAUAUGAGAUAAGAUGAGGCUUGACUGUAAUUGCAAACAGUUAUCUCACAAUUUGAUUUGAAAACACAGACUUUACUUAGCUUAUUGAAUGAAGCGGGACAAAUCUAAAAAAAAUUGCAUAAAAUGUUGAUGAGUGGAUUUAUCAAAUAUAUCACCAGCAUUUUUGUUAGACACACAAAAAAUACUCCAGCUGCUUUUAAAAUGUUGAGCUUCAAUAAUCUACACUGCUUUGGCUGUGGGGAGUUGACAUCAUCCAUCUCUGGACAAUCUAGGAUUUCACUUUACCAGCACCGGGAUUUUAGAGCAUUGGGUGUGAGAUGGGGAAGGAUAGCAAGCCCCGUGUGCUUACGUUGCCUCGAUAAAUCAGUAAAAGGGUCUUCCUUGAAUCAUUGUUUCCAUUUAUGUCUUUGUUGAGCUCUCCAGAAAAUAUCGGCCUCCCGGGCAGUGCACUGUCCUAAGAAUUAGGAUAGAUGAUAGUGAUAGGUAUGCUUUUCUUCUUUCUAAACCAAUAGGAAAAUUUUACUAAAAUCUUUUCUAAACAAUAAUGAACCAAGCUCCCGCUCAAUUAAAUCAUCUUCGAUAUAUAGAAAAAUAUAGAUAUAUGAUAUUGAUAGAGAAAUAGAUGGAAGUUGAGGAUCCUGAAAUUGAUAAUUUUUUUUUUUUUUUUUUGCUUUUUAGGGCCAAACCCAUAGCAUAUGGAGGUUCCCAGGCUAGGGAUGGACUUGGAGCUACAGCUGCCAACCUACACCAUAGCCACAGCAACAUGGGAUCCGAGCCUGCAGCCUUCACCACAGCUCACGACAGCCCUGGAUCCUUAACCCACUGAGCGGGGCCAGGGAUCGAAGUCGCAAGUCCUCAUAGAUGCUUGCUGAGUUCGUGGACUGCUGAGCCAUGAAAGGAACUCCUGAAAUUGAUUCCUUUUAAAAAGAUGGGCAUGUGCCUAGAUGACCCAUAUUUCCUCCACAGCUUCCCUUUUCCUGCAGACAGAUGGAAGGAAGGGGUGUGUUUUUCAUCUUCCCAAGGGCUGCUGAUGGUUGGUGGUUAAUGGAAGCUAGCAGGAAGAAAUACAUGUUACUGGGGGUUAGGGUUGCUUGUUGCAGGUCGGAAAGACAGAGAAUGAACUGGGAGAAGAUUCCCAUAAGACGUGUCACCAGUUACGGGUGGAAAGAAGACCUGUGAUUGUGUUAGGCACGAGUGGCUAUUUUCAACCCUCUUCCAUCUACUCCCUCCACCCUCCAUGCCUCAGAUACUAGUUAUAACUGUUUUCCAAAUUGCAAUAUGCCAAAGGUUAUAGAUAGCUACACUGACAAAAGUAACUUUAUAAAGACUAUCUAUUGAGGGUUUUUUAGACAUAUAAUUCCUUUCCAUCUGUCCUUUCAAAUAAAGGUUGCAGAGUUCCCGUUGUGGCUAUGUGGUUAACAAACCCAACUAGGAUCCACGAGGUUGUGAGUUCGAUCCCUGGCCUCGUUCAGUAGGUUAAGGAUCCAGCGUUGCCGUGAGCUGUGGUGUAGGCCACAGUCGAAGCUCGGAUCCUGCGUUGCUGUGGCUGUGGUAUAGGCUGGUGGCUACAGCUCCGAUUGGACCCCUAGCCUGGCCCUAGAAAAGCCCCCCAAAAAAGUCAAAUAAAGGUUGAGUUGCUAAAUAACAACCCAAUAAGGUUGUUACUGCCUUUCUUGUCUUUCUCAAAAAAAAUAAAUAAAUAACAAAUCUUUAUAAAUAUUCAGAAGCUUUGACUACAUCAAAGUGACCAGUAGAACAUUGCAAAUGAGAAAGAGAAAAUAUUUGCAAGACAAUUGGCAUUUCAUUUUUAGAGAAAGCUGUUUUCUGACAGUAGUAGUUUAGCAUUUUUGCUUUCAUUUUAUUUAGAAGUAAACCCAAUGGAGAAACUGUAGUUUAGAAGAAAAGACAGUAUGAAAAGGAACCCAGUUUCCCCUCUCAUCUCCAUACAUAAUAUAUGCUUGUGGGAGAGCUUCUAGGGGAACAAACAGGCAAUUGAUUGCAAUGACUAUUCUCUAUUUAUUCCAGUGAUAAAAUGAAAGAUUGGACUCACCACGGUUUUUUUUUUUUUUUCCUUAAAGAACUUAAAGAAAAAUUGGUUUAUUUGAUGUCAUACUAUGUCCUCAGCAGUUAACAAAUUUGUAGGCAUCUCUUUUAUUUUACUGUAAUACCACUACGUAUUGAAUUCAUUUUUUUAAUUGUAGCAAAUUCAGAUAUUUAUUUUCAAUCCUGAAAUUUUCUAAUUCUACUGUUCCUUUUGCCUGAGGUAAAAAUAAAUAUGACAAUCAUGAAUGGAGGGGGGAGAUAAUUUAUUCCUACAUAUACAUUUAAUCAGUCAGCCAGACUGCUCACUAUGUAUGUGCAUUUGUAUCUACUUUUAUCUGUGAAAAUGCUCUAGGCUGCUGGAAACAGAAAAGGCAUUUAUCUCACAGAACAAGAGGACUCAAAAUGGGGUGCCUCCAGGGUUGGG